CACGAACCCAACAUUAACAUGUUUAUUCGAUUUACUUCUACGUGCUCUAUUACUCUUAAACAACACAUUAGCAAUAAAUAAUUAAGCAAUCAUACACGACACCAAAUUAAAGGCGUUUAAGCACAUCAAUUUUUGGAGAAACUACGUAAAUUAAAUACACUCAGCCAAAACGGAAUCCACAUGGAUCUGAUUCCAGGAAAGGAAUGGGAAUGUGCAAAGUGCUCAAAAACUUUUGAUACUUUUGACGUAUUGGCCAGACACGUGGUCACGCACGAUCCCAAUGCCACGCUGAAGUGUGAGGUUUGCAGCAAAAUUUGCAAAAUAGACGCGGCUUAUCAUGACAGGUGUGGAGAAUUCACACCAAACGGCAACGACCAAGUUGUCCCACUUGUCACGGCUUGUUUUAAGACUCCACCGCUUUACGCAGACACACCGAAGCCUUCCACGGAACAAAGAAUAUACAGUCAAUGGAACAAAUUUCUCGGCUGUGAGAAAACCUUCUUGAAUAAACGCCAACUUACGAGACACGUAAAAGCUGAACAUGCCGAUAUUCCGGUCCGAUUUCCGUGUACACUUUGCGGGAAAGACUUCAAAACUAGGACUUGCCUUGACCAACACAUUCUCACUCACACGACGGAGAAACGGUAGAAUUGUACCACCUGUGGGAGGGGUUUUACCCAGAGGCCACACCUGAGACGUCACGAGACAACGCAUUUGAAAAAAUUUCGCUAUCACGUCUGCCCACAGGCCUUCUUAAGUUUGAACUAUUUACAAAGCCACAUCCGAGUUGUGCAUGGAAAUCAGAGGGAUUAUCCGUGCACAUUUUGUGAUAAGAGUUUCUCA